rnacentral:rRNA from 1 species
UACGAAGGGGGCUAGCGUUGUUCGGAAUUACUGGGCGUAAAGCGCGCGCAGGUGGUCUUUCAAGUCAGUGGUGAAAGCCCGGAGCUCAACUCCGGAAAUGCCAUUGAAACUGUGAGACUUGAGGAUGAGAGAGGUGAGUGGAAUUCCCAGUGUAGAGGUGAAAUUCGUAGAUAUUGGGAAGAACACCAGUGGCGAAGGCGGCUCACUGGCCCGGUACUGACGCUGAGGCGCGAAAGCGUGGGGAGCAAACAGG